rnacentral:misc_RNA from 1 species
UAUGGUGCGUUCGCCCGGGUACGAUCCAUGCGUCUAGCGAGUAUCCCUUGUACUCAGAUUUUCUGGAUGUUGUCAGCGAUGAGAGACGCUUUUCUUAUUUAGAUAGUUCUACGUUCCGCAAGGCACGGAUCUGUGGUCUCGUCGGAACUGGGGAAAACGCUGUGUUCAAGCAGAUAGAUCGUGUGUCGGUCUUCUGUUAGCCUCUCGUUGGGCAUGUGAUCGAAUCCUGAUCGCGCGCGCGCGCGUGCUUAACAGGUAGGCCCAAACCUGUGGAGAUGCGUUGACCGGUGACCGACACAGGCUUGUGUUCAGCUGCUGGACGAUGUGGCAGCAUGGGCGCUCUUUCGACUGGGAAAAGAGGGAUGCGUGUCGGAGGAACGCAGUCUCGUGUAGAUACACCCGUUGCUUCUGGAGGCUGCAGUAUAGUCCAGCGCCGCGUGCUGGUCGUUUUCGUGGACGGGGCUGUACGGGGCUCGGAAAUUGUCCACCAGUCGCUGUGUUUGUGCGAUCGUGCGCAUUUGCUAGGGAAGGAAGCGGAUCAUCGGGGGCACGGGCCGUGUCGAUCGCGAGUCGAUUUCAGGACAUGCGAACACCCGCCCAGAACUUUCAUGAAUAAACCAGUCUUCAUGUGCGAGCUCGGAGCGUCUAGCAGACACCCGGCCUCUAUUCAGAUCGGGGCACGAGCCGUGUCGAAGUGAUGCAGGGCUGCAGUCUCGUUCCGCUGACCCGCACCACGACCCGCGAGCAGCAUCCAUCACGGGAGCGCUUCUCAAGCCGACGCCUCCAGAGGUACGGCAGGCACUCGUCGCUCAAUAGAACGUACGAAACGACCGAUCCGUCUGAGAAGAAGUAUGGGGAAUGGAACUUGGGUGCAUCGCAAUGGGGGCGUUUUCGGAAUGCCAGCAGCCAUUCCUGCGAUCUGCGAGACGCGAGCGCAAUGAUCUCGCAGCGCGCAGCGCAUUGGGCGAGCGCUGCAGUUCGUGAAUCCGAGUCGCUCGAAGCGUCUUGGGCGAAGCACUUGCCACGGAACCUAUGCGAGCGACUUUUAAGUCAACCGCCUUUCUGCAAGUCUACGGUGGUGGUACGACUCCCUGCAGUAAUCGUCACAGGCUGAGGCGACAGACUUGGACUUUGGGCCGACGGCGAUCUGGCUACAAGUGCGCCUCCGUUGCAGCGCUCUCGCUCACACAGCGGACUGAGUACUCUCGGAGAGAACUUCUUCGAGCUUUUUCAUUGUUGCCGGCAACCGCUGUCUUUGCCUAUACGGCAGCGAUGACCGUGCAGCAGGCAGCUGCAGCUGUCGCGCCGUCGACGACUGGUGCACCGGCAACCGCACCCAAGACGGGUGCUGAGAUACCAGUCGCACCGUUGCCGUAUCCAUAUAAUGCCCUUGAGCCGGUCAUUGACGCCAAGACGAUGCGUCUGCACCAUGAUAAGCAUUUUGCGGGAUACGUGAGCAAGACGAAUGCGGCGCUCAACGAGGAGCAGCGGAGGACGUUUCCGGCGAUCCUGAGCCGGCUCUCGACGAUAUCGGAUCGGGCGUUGCGCGAGACUGUGCGGAACCAGGGUGGCGGCGCCAUAAACCACCGU